AUCAGCCAUUUAUAUGCCUUGCUUUGCAUAUUUUCAAGUUAAAGAGAUGUCCUUUGAUAAAUUGAAGGUUUGGAGAUGUUUGCUGUGUAUAUGACAUGCUUAUGCCUGCCUCGAUUAUUUGAUCUAUUAAUCCAUGAAUCUCUGGAUUCGGGCAAACAAAGACAUUUAUUUCUAAUGAUUGACUCGAGAAACUGUAAAUACGUCAUCAACUGAGAAGACUAGAUUCCAUUGCUGGUGAGCCGAUGUUGGUGAUCUUCAGCACCGAGGCAGAUCAAGUGGUGGGGGCUGUACUGACUGCAAAUUGCCAACUCCAUUCUCAACUAAGAAAGCCAUAGCCAGACCCCAAUUGAGAUGUGAAUCUAGGUGACAGUGCAUCAACCAAAUCCCUGUUUCAGACCAGCCACAAACCGGAUGGCUACCCAUCCACCAGGAGGGUUUCCAAUGGUAUUCCUAUAUGGUGGGUUAAUGAGGUUGAACUUUGCUGGAUCUGUUUGAGGGUUGAAGUUACCAAAGCCUGACCCUACAACCGCGAAAUUG